UACUGACCUUCUGGCUCCUUUCUUUUUAG
rnacentral:piRNA from 1 species